AGGGAGUGCGGGCAUCUUUCAAAAAGUAGGUUGUGGGUUCGAAUCCCAGCCCAUGCAUUCAACAUGUCGAUGUAUCCUUGGGCAAGAUACUUAACCUUGAGAUGCUCCCGGUUGCAUGGCCAACAGUGU